rnacentral:rRNA from 1 species
UAAUACGUAGGGGGCGAGCGUUGUCCGGAUUUACUGGGUGUAAAGGGCGCGUAGGCGGAUUUGUAAGUCAGUGGUGAAAUCCUACAGCUUAACUGUAGAACUGCCUUUGAUACUGCAAAUCUUGAGUUCGGAAGAGAGUAGCGGAAUUCCAGGUGUAGUGGUGAAAUACGUAGAUAUCUGGAAGAACACCAGUGGCGAAGGCGGCUACUUGGUCCGUAACUGACGCUGAGGCGCGAAAGCGUGGGGAGCAAACAGGAUUAGAUACCCUGGUAGUCCACGCUGUAAACGAUGAAUACUAGGUGUUGGCCUCAUUAGGGGUCAGUGCCGCAGCUAACGCAUUAAGUAUUCCACCUGGGGAGUACGAUCGCAAGGUUGAAACUCAAAGGAAUUGACGG